UUGCUCCCUUAGGUCAGCGGCGGACGGGUGAGUAACACGUGGGUAACCUGCCUGUAAGACUGGGAUAACUCCGGGAAACCGGGGCUAAUACCGGAUGCUUGAUUGAGCCGCAUGGUUCAAUUAUAAAAGGUGGCUUUCAGCUACCACUUACAGAUGGACCCGCGGCGCAUUAGCUAGUUGGUGAGGUAACGGCUCACCAAGGCGACGAUGCGUAGCCGACCUGAGAGGGUGAUCGGCCACACUGGGACUGAGACACGGCCCAGACUCCUACGGGAGGCAGCAGUAGGGAAUCUUCCGCAAUGGACGAAAGUCUGACGGAGCAACGCCGCGUGAGUGAUGAAGGUUUUCGGAUCGUAAAACUCUGUUGUUAGGGAAGAACAAGUACCGUUCGAAUAGGGCGGCACCUUGACGGUACCUAACCAGAAAGCCACGGCUAACUACGUGCCAGCAGCCGCGGUAAUACGUAGGUGGCAAGCGUUGUCCGGAAUUAUUGGGCGUAAAGCGCGCGCAGGCGGUUUCUUAAGUCUGAUGUGAAAGCCCCCGGCUCAACCGGGGAGGGUCA
rnacentral:rRNA from 1 species